AACGCGAAGAACCUUACCUGGGCUCGAAAUGUACAGGAAUGCGGUAGAAAUAUCGCCGUCCAGCAAUGGACCUGUAUAUAGGUGCUGCAUGGCUGUCGUCAGCUCGUGUCGUGAGAUGUUGGGUUAAGUCCCGCAACGAGCGCAACCCUUAUUACCAGUUGCUACCAUUUAGUUGAGCACUCUGGUGAGACCGCCUCGGAUAACGGGGAGGAAGGCGGGGAUGACGUCAAGUCCUCAUGGCCUUUAUGUCCAGGGCUACACACGUGCUACAAUGGCCGGUACAAACCGUCGCAAACCCGUGAGGGGGAGCUAAUCGGAAAAAGCCGGCCUCAGUUCGGAUUGGAGUCUGCAACUCGACUCCAUGAAGCUGGAAUCGCUAGUAAUCGCGGAUCAGAAUGCCGCGGUGAAUACGUUCCCGGGCCUUGUACACACCGACAUA
rnacentral:rRNA from 1 species